UCCCUGGCAGUCCAGUAGUUAGGACUCGGCACUUUCAGUGCCAGGGCCCAGGUUCAAUCCCUGGUCAGGGAA
rnacentral:tRNA from 1 species